UUCGCAAUGCCCGAAAGGGUGACGAAGCGACGCCGCGUGGGUGAGGAAGGCCCUCGGGUUGUAAAGCCCUGUCAGGAGUUAAGAAAUGUAAGUGCGCUAAUAUCGCAUUUAUUUGACGAAGGCUCCAAAGGAAGCCACGGCUAACUCUGUGCCAGCAGCCGCGGUAAUACAGAGGUGGCAAGCGUUGUUCGGAAUUAUUGGGCGUAAAGAGCACGUAGGUGGGUUUGUAAGUCAGAUGUGAAAGCCUUCUGUUCAACGGAAGAAUUGCAUCUGAAACUGCAGGUCUUGAGUGUAGGAGGGGAGAAUGGAACUUCUGGUGGAGCGGUGAAAUGCGUAGAUAUCAGAAGGAACGCCGGCGGCGAAAGCGAUUCUCUGGCCUAUUACUGACACUCAGUGUGCGAAAGCUAGGGGAGCAAACGGGAUUAGAUACCCCGGUAGUCCUAGCCGUAAACGAUGGGCACUAAGUAGA
rnacentral:rRNA from 1 species